AGACGAGCAACCUGAACGUAAGGAAGCCCGCUUGAUGUGGCGCCGUCCAACAGGUGUAACACAAACCAGGAGAGCAGACGAGUACAAAGAGAAAACCUGACGAUAAAACUGAAAAGGAAGAGGAGAUAAACAAAAGAAGAAAGCUUUUCAACUAAAAGUGGAAAACAGGACGACAGUGGUUAGUGUGUAACCCAGAAAAAUGUAUUGCGCCAACGGUAAGACGUACGGCUGUGAAUGAGAAAGUUGAAACUGUAAAGGACCGUUAAAGUUCAGUUGGUCGCCAGGGGAGCAUCGCGACUAAACGGACAACAGUCGGUUCGCCAGUAUUACAACAGAGUCCCUGUCCCUCAUGACGUUAACAAAGAUGGCGAAGAUAAGAACACUUUUUCGCAAUUUGCACGCCAAGCCAAGAGAGGUCGACCAUUUACAAGCUAUGUGUGGAUGCGCGACAGGCUGCAAGAAGAGCAACUGGAAACCACAACUAAAGGAAGCGAGGUGCAGGAUCCAGAUGUCAGAGAAUGGGAGCAAAAAAAGGGGGGUCCAAGUGGAAACGGAAUCCACAGGGUCAAAGGUUAAGGCAGUUCAGAGCAGCAGCUUCCACUGACCUACAAGGAAAGGCAGAGUUGGGCAGGCAUGGAAAAUGACUACAGACAGUCUGUUUCCAUAAAG